rnacentral:rRNA from 1 species
GAUGAACGCUAGCUACAGGCUUAACACAUGCAAGUCGAGGGGCAGCACGGAGAUAGCUUGCUAUCUUGGGUGGCGACCGGCGCACGGGUGAGUAACGCGUAUCCAACCUGCCCAUUACUCUGGGAUAGCCUUGCGAAAGUAAGAUUAAUACCGGAUGUUGUUAAAAACCCGCAUGAGUUUUUAACCAAAGAUUUAUUGGUAAUGGAUGGGGAUGCGUGACAUUAGGUAGUUGGUGAGGUAACGGCUCACCAAGCCUACGAUGUCUAGGGGUUCUGAGAGGAAGGUCCCCCACACUGGAACUGAGACACGGUCCAGACUCCUACGGGAGGCAGCAGUGAGGAAUAUUGGUCAAUGGACGAGAGGCUGAACCAGCCAAGUAGCGUGCAGGACGACGGCCCUCUGGGUUGUAAACUGCUUUGAGUUGGGAAUAAAAAGAGGGACGUGUCCCUAAUUGUAUGUACCAUCAGAAAAAGGACCGGCUAAUUCCGUGCCAGCCGCCGCGGUAAAAC